ensembl:lncRNA
GGCAGCGUGACCCUACAGCAGUGCACCAUGGAGUGCUGCAACACCUCCCUCUGCCUGCAGCUCAAUGCAAGCUCCUAUGGUGAUCUUCCCCCCACCACCGUGCUGCCCACGACCACCAUCACCACCACCACCACCCCACGCCCCCCCCCACGAAAUGGGAAAAUCUGUGCAGCAUUCUCCUGCCAUGGGGAUGGAUGUUUCAAAGGCAAGAAGAGCACAGCUAGAUGCUUUGUUGGGCAUGAUUUCUGCGAGGUACGGCUGGGACAGGACAGGUGGGAUGUGCUGGAGUCUGCGUGCAUCCCCUCAAUGCAAAUGCCAGAGGCUGGGCAGGACCAGCAGGUCAAUCUCUCUCCUCCUUCCAGAUGAAGAAGACGGGCUUCAAUUAUGUGGCAGGAUGCAGCAAAGCCUGCAAGGCUGCCAAGCCUGUCUGUGCCCGGGGGGUGAAGGCUGCCUGUUUCCAGGAGUGCUGCCCCGCCACCCCCAAGGGCAGCUGCUUAAAGCUGGAUGGCAAAGUUCAUGUGAAUGGUGCUGGGCAGGUGGCUGUGUCCCCGCUGCUGCAGCUCCUGGCAUGUGGGGCAGCCCUCCUCUUGAGCCGAAGGGCCUCCACUCCCCUCCAUGGGUAAGCAGCAGCCCUGCAGCCUUUCCCCUCCUUGAUUUCAGCUGAGGUCGCUAUCAAACACCCUCUGUUGCAUCCCCAUGCCAGGAGCGAGGUGCCCUGGAGCUCAUAGAUGGUGACUUCUCCCUCCAUGCAGGUGAUCCCCGCUACACAUCGAGCCUCUGUGCUGCAGGGAUGGCAGAUGCUGGAAGGAGAGACCUCAGGUGUAGGAGUGAGAGGAUGCUGAGCCAGCUUGGAACCCAGGAACCUCUGCCUUGACCCAAGGCACAGCUUACACAGUGUAGUUACAACGUGUUUGCACCGCAACUGUCUGAACACCCACUUAGUUUCUAAAUGAUACGUCCUGUCCCAGUAGGCUGUACUGUUUUGUCUCCAGGUCUUAGACAGGGCAAUGGGGCUGAGCUAAAAGCAUCGUGUUAGACCGUCCUGUUUCGUAUCUAUGAUUCUCUAUGGGUAAAUGUAGAGCAGAGACACGAGCGUGAGUCUGUAACAGGAGCUGGCUCCCAGCCAGACAGCUGGCAAUGGCUCUGUGGUGCCACUGUGCAAACACAUUCUGUCCUCUUCCUGCUCUCUUUUAAGAAAAUAAAAUAUAAUGACAAUAAUAGAGAAGCUUCAGUCCCUUGGGUUGAUGUCAGGCUGCUUUGGGCACAGCUCAGCUCCAGGGAUGUGGUGGGAAGGGGAUCCCAGCUGUAGGGCUGUGCUGGGACAGCAGCAGGAUGGCUUUGCUGGGAGCUCCGCACAGUGGAUGUGGGGCUGAGGGCAGGCAGUGUGCAGCCAUCAUUGGCCCUUCCACGCUGCAGUGCUGCUGCACCAAAGCCAUGGCACGGGCUGGGGGGUGCUGUCCCAUCAGUCUAUCGGCAGAAAAUGACAACGGGAUGGAACUCAAAGAUGUUUCUGUUUCAGAACCGACUCACGACACCACGUUUCUUGUAAGGAGGAGCGCUCUGGAGAUUGGAGCAGAUUUUUCUCACUGUUCUCCUUUCAUUUCCUCUUCGCAGUCUUUUAUCUGUUCUGAGAAGGGAGCAGAAAGCACAGACUGCUGCUUUUUCCAUAUCUGCUCGACUUUGCCGUUACUUCUACAGCAGCAGAAAGGGCUGACUCACACCGAGCUCCCCCGUUCGGCACGUCAGCGCCUGCUGACAUUUCCCAGCACCUGCUCACACCCUCCGCAGCAG